CGGCGGACGGGUGAGUAACACGUGGAUAACCUACCUAUAAGACUGGGAUAACUUCGGGAAACCGGAGCUAAUACCGGAUAAUAUAUUGAACCGCAUGGUUCAAUAGUGAAAGACGGUUUUGCUGUCACUUAUAGAUGGAUCCGCGCCGCAUUAGCUAGUUGGUAAGGUAACGGCUUACCAAGGCAACGAUGCGUAGCCGACCUGAGAGGGUUAUCGGCCACACUGGAACUGAGACACGGUCCAGACUCCUACGGGAGGCAGCAGCC
rnacentral:rRNA from 1 species